CCCAGACUCCUACGGGAGGCAGCAGUGGGGAAUAUUGCACAAUGGGGGAAACCCUGAUGCAGCGACGCCGCGUGAGUGAAGAAGUAUUUCGGUAUGUAAAGCUCUAUCAGCAGGGAAGAAAAUGACGGUACCUGACUAAGAAGCCCCGGCUAACUACGUGCCAGCAGCCGCGGUAAUACGUAGGGGGCAAGCGUUAUCCGGAUUUACUGGGUGUAAAGGGAGCGUAGACGGCAUGGCAAGUCAGAUGUGAAAGCCCGGGGCUCAACCCCGGGACUGCAUUUGAAACUGGCAAACUGGAGUGUGUGAGAGGAUAGUGGAAUUCCAGGUGUAGGAGUGAAAUCCGUAGAUAUCUGGAGGAACAUCAGUGGCGAAGGCGACUAUCCGGCACAUAACUGACGCUGAGGAGCGAAAGCGUGGGUAGCAAACAGGAUUAGAUACCCGAGUAA
rnacentral:rRNA from 1 species